UACGGAGGGUGCUAGCGUUGUCCGGAUUUAUUGGGCGUAAAGCGCGUGUAGGCGGUCUGUUAGGUCUGGUGUGAAAACUCGAGGCUCAACCUCGAGAUGUCGCCGGAAACCAGUCGGCUAGAGUCCGGAAGAGGAGAGUGGAAUUCCUGGUGUAGCGGUGAAAUGCGCAGAUAUCAGGAGGAACACCGGUGGCGAAGGCAGCUCUCUGGGACGGUACUGACGCUGAGACGCGAAAGCGUGGGGAGCGAACAGG
rnacentral:rRNA from 1 species